GCCCUGUUAGCUCAGUGGUAGAGCGUUCCACUCGUAAUGGAAAGGCCUGGUGUUCAAUCCACCAAUGGGGCA
rnacentral:tRNA from 3 species